rnacentral:rRNA from 1 species
ACGGCGGACGGGUGAGUAACGCGUGGGUAACCUACCCUGUACACACGGAUAACAUACCGAAAGGUAUGCUAAUACGGGAUAAUAUAUUUGAGAGGCAUCUCUUGAAUAUCAAAGGUGAGCCAGUACAGGAUGGACCCGCGUCUGAUUAGCUAGUUGGUAAGGUAACGGCUUACCAAGGCGACGAUUAGUAGCCGACCUGAGAGGGUGAUCGGCCACAUUGGAACUGAGACACGGUCCAA